UUAAUUAUUCCAAAGAAAGGAGAGCCUUCACUGCUUGGCUGCAUGGUGGAUGUCAGGAUAAAUCAGCCAAUAAUCCAGCAGAGCUUUGCAAGGAUGCGGGAGUGGAGGCAAGCCAGGCCCAGCCCCUUCCUCCCUCUGCUCUGCAAAGCUGCCUGCCCCGGGGCUCUUUCCAUCUCGAAGACCUCAUUCCUGUGCCCCCAAUUAGCAGUCUGGGAAAUCAGACACAUUUACUGAGCGCCCACUUUGCUCCAGGCACCAGGCAGUUCUCGGGGAGAGGAAGAGAGAAUCGUCAAGAUUCCUGCCCUUAUGGCACGUUCGUGGCUGGUCUGCUGGACGUGAACCAAGAGCCAUUUGCUCCGGAGGCAAGAGUCGAGUCAGGCCCAGCUGGGCUUUCCCAUCCUUUAUGUGCCCGAUCCCAUUAAUAAUUAACGGGCAAACUGGUCCCAUUGAGCAGGGACGGGGUGGGCGUGAGACCCACACGGUGCAUCCAGGAGCUGACGUUCUGCAUGCACAGGCCCACUUACAGCAAAGAGCAGGGAUGAAGAUGGCCCCUACUCCAUCAGAGUGUUCCGGUGAGAAGAGAAGCGAAUGUGGGAGAAGCAGAAUUAAGGGACGGUCCCUAACAUUCGCUCCAGGAAAACACCACAAUGUGCCCAGGGUUUUAGCUACUCAUGAUGCUAUUCACUGCAGCAUUAUUUAUGAUGUCGCAACUUGGAAACCAGCUCCUCGUUCAAUAUUGGAGGAUUGGCUUCGACAAGUGUGAGCACAUCCACGCAACGGGGCCCAUGCCUGCUUCCCAAACUGGGGUGUGCCUCGGAACCCCCGGGAGCCCUGGGAAAAUGCAGGUUCUGGGGGUCCGGGGCUGAGAUCCUGCUCUUGUAAGAGCUGCUGGUUGGGGACGGCUCCCUGAGUAUAAGGGGGUGGGGCCCUUGGGCGGGUAGAAGUUCGGGGUCUGCUGGCGAUAGAAGAACCAGGUUGAUAACAGUGUGUUCUGGGGUCCCAUCCCAGGCUCAACGCAGAGCGCGUGUGGCUCACUCGGGACAAAGUCGGGAGGCUCGAAGCCGAGCGCUCGAAGUGCUUAUAGAGAGGGGAUGAAUUAUAGAUCGUCUCAAAUUUUCUCUUUGGUUUAUCUUAAUUUCAAAAUUAUCCACAAUUAACAUGUAUUACUUUUGUAAAUGGAGAAAA
rnacentral:lncRNA from 1 species